UUCACGGAGAGUUUGAUCCUGGCUCAGGACGAACGCUGGCGGCGUGCUUAACACAUGCAAGUCGAACGAUGAAGCCUUUCGGGGUGGAUUAGUGGCGAACGGGUGAGUAACACGUGGGCAAUCUGCCCUUCACUCUGGGACAAGCCCUGGAAAC
rnacentral:rRNA from 1 species